UACGAUCACCGAAGUUAAGCAACGGUGAGCUUGGUCAGUACCAAGAUGGAUGACCGCUUGGGAGUACCAGGUGAUGUAAG